AUUGAACGCUGGCGGCAGGCUUAACACAUGCAAGUCGAGCGGGGUGAUGGUGCUUGCACUAUCACUUAGCGGCGGACGGGUGAGUAAUGCUUAGGAAUCUGCCUAUUAGUGGGGGACAACAUUCCGAAAGGAAUGCUAAUACCGCAUACGCCCUACGGGGGAAGGCAGGGGAUCUUUGGACCUUGCGCUAAUAGAUGAGCCUAAGUCGGAUUAGCUAGUUGGUGGGGUAAAGGCCUACCAAGGCGACGAUCUGUAGAGGGUCUGAGAGGAAGAUCCGCCACACUAGGACUGAGACACGGCCCAGACGCCUACGGGAGGCAGCAGUGGGGAAUAUUGGACAAUGGGCGGAAGCCUGAUCCAGCCAUGCCGCGUGUGUGAAGAAGGCCUUUUGGUUGUAAAGCACUUUAAGCGAGGAGGAGGAGCUCUAGGUUAAUACCCUAGAUGCUUGGACGUUACUCGCAGAAUAAGCACCGGCUAACUCUGUGCCAGCCGCCGCGGUAAUAC
rnacentral:rRNA from 1 species